AUCAACUGACUGAAAUCCGACGCGCCAGUUUUGCCCGUCUCGUCUGUGACAACAGCAACGUGAAAUCCAGCCAGCCUCUAAUCUUUAAAACACCAUCUCACGUAAACCCGAUUUUGAAUUGCGAUUCCGGCUCUAUCCCUCGUCUUAACGUUCGCCCAUUCGGGGUGGAAGAUCGCUGGCCGGAAUACAACACCGGUGACGGCGGUGUCAAAUGGCUGCAGAAUUGCGACUUCCUCGGCUACGAUCUGAGUCGAAAGACCAUCCCAGGAGAACAGUGUGGCCGACUCUGCAUCAAUGACGGCAAGUGCAACGCGUUUACCUACAACUCGGUGACGGGCAUCUGUUUCUUGAAAGACAUUCCAGCGUCGUAUGGUCGCUCACCUUGGAACGGAGCUAUCUGCGGCUUCCUUCCGUGGAAAUUUUAAUUGUUUCUAAUAUAUUUAAAUACUCUUUAUCUGUGAAUCGACUGCCCAAAAUCUGUCCUCUUGCAUGUAGAUUAUUUGUAUCGCGCCUUACCUGCUAGCAGAGUGUAGAGCAAAAUACAAAAUGUCGAGUGAAA